rnacentral:rRNA from 1 species
GACGAACGCUGGCGGCGUGCUUAACACAUGCAAGUCGAGCGGAAAGGCCACUUCGGUGGUACUCGAGCGGCGAACGGGUGAGUAACACGUGAGUAAUCUGCCCCUGGCUUUGGGAUAGCCACCGGAAACGGUGAUUAAUACCGGAUACGACCACUUCUCGCAUGGGAUGGUGGUGGAAAGUUUUUUCGGCCAGGGAUGUGCUCGCGGCCUAUCAGCUUGAUGGUGAGGUAAUGGCUCACCAUGGCUUCGACGGGUAGCCGGCCUGAGAGGGUGACCGGUCACCGUGGGACUGAGACACGGCCCAGACUCCUACGGGAGGCAGCAGUGGGGAAUAUUGGACAAUGGGCGGAAGCCUGAUCCAGCAACGCCGCGUGAGGGAUGACGGCCUUCGGGUUGUAAACCUCUUUCAGCAGGGACGAAGCGCAAGUGACGGUACCUGCAGAAGAAGCACCGGCCAACUACGUGCCAGCCGCCGCGGUAA